rnacentral:rRNA from 1 species
UAUGAUGAUGCCAGGCAAAUCCGGCAUCAGAGCUGAGACCUGAAAGUACGGGGUCCCCUUCGGGGGAACCUGAGAGCGAGGGUAACCAUACUCCCGAGAAAAUGGGCUAAACUCAUGUUGGCGGUACCCGUACCGCAAACCGACACAGGUAGUUGGGUAGAACAUACUAAGGCGUUGAGAGAUUCAUGGCUAAGGAACUAGGCAAACUGACCCCGUAACUUCGGGAUAAGGGGUCCUCACCUCCGGGUGAGGCGCAGAGAAUAGGUCCAGGCAACUGUUUAACAAAAACACAGGGCUGUGCGAACUCGAAAGAUGAAGUAUACAGCCUGACACCUGCCCGGUGCCGGAAGGUUAAGAGGAGAUGUCACCGCAAGGGAAGCAUUGAAUUGAAGCCCCGGUAAACGGCGGCCGUAACGAUAACGGUCCUAAGGUAGCGAAAUUCCUUGUCGGGUAAGUUCCGACCUGCACGAAUGGUGUAACGAUCCGGACGCUGUCUCGGCCAUGAGCUCAGUGAAAUUGUAGUAUCGGUGAAGAUGCCGAUUACCCGCGAUGGGACGAAAAGACCCCGUGAACCUUUACUACAGCUUAGCAUUGACCUUGGUCAUCCGAUGUGUAGGAUAGGCCGGAGGCUUCGAUGCGGCGUCGCCAGGCGUUGUGGAGCCAUCCUUGAAAUACGGCCCUUUGGCUGUCUGAGGUCUAACGCGGAUAGUCGCGGACACUGCUUGGUGGGUAGUUUGACUGGGGUGGUCGCCUCCAAAAGCGUAACGGAGGCUUCCAAAGGUGCCCUCGGGCCGUUUUGGUAAGCGGCCUUCAAGAGUGCAAUGGCAAAAGGGCGCUUGACUGGGAGGGAGACAUCCCGAGCAGGCAGGAAACUGGGGCAUAGUGAUCCGGCGGAUGUGUAUGGAAACUCCGUCGCUCAAAGGAUAAAAGGUACUCCGGGGAUAACAGGCUGAUCCCCCCCAAGAGCUCAUAUCGACGGGGUGGUUUGGCACCUCGAUGUCGGCUCGUCACAUCCUGGGGCUGGAGAAGGUCCCAAGGGUUGGGCUGUUCGCCCAUUAAAGUGGCACGCGAGCUGGGUUCAGAACGUCGUGAGACAGUUCGGUCUCUAUCUAUCGUGGGCGCAGGAGUUUUGAGUGGUGCUGUCACUAGUACGAGAGGACCGUGACGGACAGACCUCCGGUGUACCGGUUGUGCCGCCAGGCGCACCGCCGGGUAUCCGCGUCUGGAUCGGAUAAGCGCUGAAAGCAUCUAAGUGCGAAGCUUUCCACGAGAUUAGAACUCCAUUGAGGGUCGUCGCAGACGACGACGUUGAUAGGGCGCAGGUGUAAAGACGGCGACGUCAAAGCCGAGCGCUACUAAUUGCCC